rnacentral:rRNA from 1 species
CCUAACACAUGCAAGUCGAACGGGAAGCGGUGCAUAUUAGCUUCGGUGAUAAUGUGCCGUGGAGAGUGGCGAACGGGUGCGUAACACGUAGGUAACCUGCCCUGAAAGGGGGGAUAACCACGGGAAACUGUGGCUAAUACCGUAUAAUCUCGCCGUGGCGGUGGUUACGGUGAGGAAAGCUGAGGCGAUUUGGGAGGGGCCUGCGGUCGAUUAGCUGGUUGGUGGGGUAAAGGCCCACCAAGGCGAUGAUCGAUAGCUGUUCUGAGAGGAAGACCAGCCACACGGGAACUGAGACACGGUUCCGACUCCUACGGGGGGCAGCAGUGAGGAAUAUUGCGCAAUGGGGGGA